AAAAGUCGUAACAAGGUUUCCGUAGGUGAACCUGCGGAAGGAUCAUUAACACUUUCAUUUUAUUGAAAAUUUAUUUUUCAAUAAUUUACUUACCCACAUUUUUGGAUGAAUUAUUUCUUUUUUAUUCUUUUUUAAAUUUUAAACCCAAAUACCAUAUUAUUUCUAACAUUUACACAAAAAGUUUAAGAAAAACAUAAAAAACAACUCUUAACAACGGAUAUCUAGGCUCUC
rnacentral:misc_RNA from 1 species